ACACUCUGGGUUCUCUUGAAGUUGUGUAAAUCUUUUGCCUUUUACUAAAAAUUUCCAUGGAGAUAAACAAUUGAGUUUUAUACAAAUACCUUGAGGUUUUGUUUUUAAAGGGCU